GACGAACGCUGGCGGCGUGCUUAACACAUGCAAGUCGAACGGAAAGGCCCUGCUUUUUUGGGCUUCCGGAUGGCGAAAGGGGGGAGGAACAGGUGAGUAACCGGCCCUUGUUUUUGGUAUAGCUUAAGGAAACUGGGGCUAAUCCCAUAUAGGAUCCCAUGCUCCGGGGUGGGGGGUGGAAAUUUUGGGCGGGUGGGGGUGGAUGCGCGGCUUAUCGGCUUGUUGGUGGGGCAGUGGCUUGCCAAGGCUUGGACGGGUACCCGGCCUGAGAGGGUGACAGGCGACACUGGGACUGAGAUACGGCCGCGACUGGUAAGGGAGGCAGAAGUGGGGAAUCUUGCACAAUGGGCGGCAGGCUGAUGAAGAAACGCCGCGUGCGGGAAGACGGCCUUCGGGUUGUAAAAAGCUUGCGGCUGUGACGAAGCGUGAGUGAAGGUAACCGAUAAAGAAGCAACGGCUAAAUACGUG
rnacentral:rRNA from 1 species